AACAACGGAUCUUCCUUGGUUCUGGCAUCGAUGAAGAACGCAGCAAAAUGCGAUAAGUAGUAUGUUGAAUUGCAGAAUUCAGUGAAUCAUCGAAUCUUUGAACGCACAUUGCGCCCGCCAGUAUUCUGGCGGGCAUGCC
rnacentral:rRNA from 1 species